rnacentral:rRNA from 1 species
UGGGGAAUUGUUCACAAUGGGCGCAAGCCUGAUGACGCAACGCCGCGUGGGGGAUGAAGGCCUUCGGGUCGUAAACCCCUGUCGAAUGGGACGAAUAACCUCUGGAUUAAUACUCCGGAGGAAUGACGGUACCGUUAAAGGAAGCCACGGCUAACUCUGUGCCAGCAGCCGCGGUAAUACAGAGGUGGCAAGCGUUGUUCGGAAUUACUGGGCGUAAAGGGCGCGUAGGCGGCCUUCUAAGUCAGACGUGAAAUCCCCCGGCUUAACCUGGGAACUGCGUCUGAUACUGGGAGGCUUGAGUAUGGGAGAGGGAUGUAGAAUUCCAGGUGUAGCGGUGAAAUGCGUAGAUAUCUGGAGGAAUACCGGUGGCGAAGGCGGCAUCCUGGACCAUAACUGACGCUGAGGCGCGAAAGCUAGGGGAGCAAACGGG